rnacentral:lncRNA from 1 species
UCAAUUCCCGUAGAACCCGCAAUCUCAUAGAAUUUGAUGAGAUGGGUAUAUGGAUCCUCAUGGUCCAUUCCGGUGAAUGCAUUUGCAUAAAGAAGUUGGAGGAUUCCGGUCUUCAUCUCCGUAUUCCUUCCUCCACGAGCAAAUUGAGCAUUCCUUCUUGGACUAUUAGCGGACAUUUCGGUAGGAGUGUCAUCCGCCAUGUUUCCUUCAC